GCAGGGUUGUCAAAAGAAAUUCUAGUAUAAAGUGCAGUGCAAGUGCAUGGUAGACACUCUUCUGUAAUAACUGAUUUUUCUAAUAGAUUGGAUUCGAGUAGGCAUUCGUAAAGUCCUUCAAAACAUUCUUGAGAUAUAUAUUCUUCUGCAUGUGUUAACAUAUUUUAACACUGAUCUAUUAAAUAUUGAUUAUUAUGUUGGUAGUCAUAUAUACAUCUAUGGUAUUUUGGUUCCAUAUGAUUUUUUUUUUUGGAUACACUGUAUCAUGUGUAUAUCAGUUUUUUUUUUAAUAUUUUUUUCUUUUAUGCUAGAAUUGUACAUGAAAGUUGCACCACCCUGACACAGGUUUAUUUUUCAAUGUAUGUAGUGUGUUUUGUUGCUUGCUGUUUAUCAUAUUUGUUUGUAUGUAGCUUUUGUAUAUAAAUCAAACUAUCAUCACUGUAGGGCUUCUCGUCUGUUUUUUUUUUACAUUGACGGUGUUGCGUGCAAGGCAGAACCCUUUAUAUAGGGUGCUCAUUAUGAAGUAUUAGUUUUGAUCAUUGUUGAAGGGUGUGGAGUAACCUAUUAUAUAGCUAACAAGCACAUCACUUGGUCUACAUGGUCUAUGGUUGAUGGUUGUCUCAUCAAAAUUCAUACCACAUCUCCUAGUUCAAUUCAAAUUAAUGAAAACCAUGAAAAUGUGCUCAUUGUUAGAUAAAGCCGGCCAAUCAAACAUGUACACCUAACAUUCAUGUCAUAUGCCAAAAAAA
rnacentral:lncRNA from 1 species